rnacentral:rRNA from 1 species
UCGGCGUAAGCACGACCAACACUAAGUCUAAAUAUUAGGUAUAAUGCUAAACCGGGCUGUAAAAAGCCAUAAGCCACACUAAUCCACCUAAUAAUAAACACCUGCCACUCGUGAAAGCUAGGAUACAAACUAAGAUUAGAUACCUUACUAUGCCUAGCCGUAACACAACAAUCAAAUUACCCAUUGUUCGCCAAAUAACUACGAGUAAAAACUUAAAAUUUAAAAGACUUGACGGUACCUCAAAACAACCUAGAGGAGCCUGUCUAAUAACCGAUACCCCACGAUCAACCCAACCCCCUCUAGCCUUAACAGUCUAUAUACCGCCGUCGCCAGCCUACCUUGUGAAAGAAACAAAGUAAGCUAAAUAGCCACACACUAACACGACAGGUCGAGGUGUAACUUAUGAAGGGGCCCAGGAUGGGCUACAUUUUCUAAUACAGAAAACACGAAUUAAUCUAUGAAAAAGAAGCUGAAGGCGGAUUUAGCAGUAUAUUGGGAACAACAUACCCAAUCGAAACUAACGCAAUGAGGUGCGUACACACCGCCCGUCAUCCCUGUUAACACAACAAAAAUGUACAUAACACAAACAAAAACUUAAAGCAGGGCAAGUCGU